GCGAGUCUUGUAGCAAUACAAGGCAUAUGCUCAGUAACACGUAGUCAAUCUAACCUAUGGACGAGGAUAACCUCGGGAAACUGAGAAUAAUACUCGAUAGACCAUAAUGCCUGGAACGGUUUAUGGUUCAAAUGAAUUUCGCCAUAGGGUGGGACUGCGGUCUAUCAGCUUGUUUUUGAGGUAAUGGCCCACCAAGGCUAUAACAGAUACGGGCUCUGAGAGGAGAAGCCCGGAGAUGGGGUACUGAGACACGGACCCAGGCCCUAUGGGGCGCAGCAGGCGAGAAAACUUUGCAAUGUGCGAAAGCACGACAAGGUUAAUCCGAGUGGUUCCUGCUAAAGGAACCUUUUGUUAGUUGUAAUACCACUUGAUGAAUAAGGGGUGGGCAAGUUCUGGUGUCAGCCCGCCGCGGUAAACCAGCACCUCAGGUGGUCAGGAGGAUUUUUGGGCCUAAAGCAUCCCUAGCCGGCUUUGUAGUUUUCGGUAAA
rnacentral:rRNA from 1 species